AGAGAAACAUUACAUUUAUAACAUUAAAAGAUAGUUUUAAAUAUUAAACAAAAUUAUAAAACUGGGAUGUUAGGCACCAAAUUUCACCUUUGAAUUGUAUGUACGCUUAGUAUAGCAUAGCCCUUUCCUCUAUGACUUAAAGUGCUACAUCUCACUAUCUAUAAAAGGAACAUAUCUUUACAUGUAUAAUUUGAUAAGCAGCUUUAACAUUUUCCUUGUAUUUAGUUUGGAGAGGGAUAUGUACAUUUUAGUGUUUACUAUAUGAAUUUUGACCAUACAGUCUUUUAUAAUUACGCCUCUUUUGGAGAUUACACAUAGAAAGGAAUCACUGAAGGACUAGGCAAGUUUCCAAGAAGGCUCUUCUGGGCCCUGAAUCUAACUCAGUUUCUGUAAUUAGAUUUCAUAUUUUCCCAGCUUGCCAUCAGUGUUCUUUUCUUAUUUUCCAUAUAAAAUUAUUGAAUUAGAAUGGGGGAACAAUGACUUGUGUUAUCUCCAUUCAGAUUUAUAUCACCCCUUGGCAAAGCAGUCAACCACAUGCAAAUCUCCAUGUUUGUUAUGUGCCCAGCUAGUUUCCUGCAGGCCCUAUGGAGCAGUUGAAGACAAUUUGUUUACUUUUUUCCUUUUACUUCAUGUGUUAGUCACUAAGUGUGGAGGGAAACAUGUAAAGGGAGGUUGAUUGUACCUAAUUUGCCUAAGAACUGUGCCUUACUUUUAUUUUUAUAAAAUAAAAUGUUGUGCCUAGUAUUUUAUAUUAUGGUUCUCCAUAAGUUCUUGAAUAAAUGGGUUUAAAAAAUCCUUCUCUUUCCCACUUAUAUUCCUAUGUAGGGUUAGGAGACUGUUUUGACCAUUCUCCCUGAACACCCAUCUUCUUGCUCAUGACAGUUACAUACCAUCUAAAAUGUCAAUGUUUCCAGAAACUGUAGGUCUUUAUAAUAUUCUCUCUCAUUUAUGAUUCAAGAAAAACCUGGGAUUUCAGCUUUUGCAAUCUUAUGACUAUCUCAAAGGCCAAGAACACAAGGUACAAUGGAAAAUGAAUAGCCCACUUUUGCUUUUUCCAAUUUAUCUUUUAUCAACUGCCGAACACAGACUUAAGAUUACUGUAUUUCUCAGUAGGUACUGAUCUACAAGUAUAGCAAAACAUCAUUAGGAGUCAUAUUAUUGUUACUUUUUUUAGACUAGUAAUAUUUGUCCCGGGCUAUCUAGUCUCUGGUUCUUGGUCACCCAAGCAGUGUCAAGUAUGGGGCCCAUCUCAUGGAGUAAGCCUUGAGUUAAAUCAGAUGUUGAUUGGUUACUACUUUAUACUUUGUGCUACCAUUGCCUUAGCAUAUUUUUCAGUCAGUACAGAUUAUAGAUCAAAGAUUUUAUGUUUGGACUGAUGUUUACUGAAGUGAAAACUUAAAGGUACUUUGGAAAGUGAGUUAUGUUAGAUGGUGUUUUGCUGGGGCAAACACAUGAGGGAGUGUUUUCCUGAAGUGGACACAGGUGAAAGACUAAGAUAGACUCAUAAGGGAACAUUUUGCUGAAGCAGACACAGGAGAAAAGAUAUUCUGCUAAAACAAGUAUGUGAAAGGACUUAUGAUGAAGGAUUCUUUGCUAACAACAUGUAUGUAUUGGUCUGCCUUAACAUGUGUAGCUGAGUUCUGUUUGUCGAGACUCCAUAGAGAAAAAUUGCCAAAAAACUUCUGGUGGUAUGCUGCAGUUUCUUGCUCUUCUGAGGCUAAUUGGUAGAGUGGUGUCAGCUGAGACAGACACACCUGCUGAGGGAAGACACAUGCUGAGGCAAGACCUGUAAAGGAUACGUGAUAUUUGAGGGGAGAAUAAAAUACGAGAUAUUUAAUGGACAGUGGCAGGGGAUGAGCUGGCUUUGCUUAUUUUAGAGCUAGCUGUGCAAUGCUUGUGUGUCCAGCCAAGAGGCACAGCCAAAAACUUCUUCUGGCAUUCCUGCUGGUCCCUUCUGCUGAUCUGUGUUGAGACCUGACCUGUCUGUCUCUGCUAGGUAGUACUACUACUGCUGAUUUGUGUUUACUACCCCAACUCUACUGAACUGGAUUGCUGAUAUAUCAGUGAAGCUCCCACUGCUGACCUGUGAACUGAACUGCUGAUUUCCAGACAGCACAGGCUGAAGGCCAUGAUACCAAGUAACUAUGGACCGCAACUCAUGGGAAAUAAAAAAGAGAAAGGAAGCUGUGGAAAAGGGCCUGAGUCAGUGAUGAGCUGGAAGCCCCUGGGGACAUCCAGAAGGCCUAGGGACUUCCCCCACCCAAGGUUCCACAUUCCUCCAUGGAAGCAAGUCCAGGAUGUUGAAGCAGAAAAAGAAAACCAUGUUCAAGGCAAUUGUGAAACACAUUGGUGGGUACAUCAGAGAAGCAGGUCACAGCAAGGCAGAUAGGCCUCAGAUGGGAUCUAGAGCAUUCUUUACCAUUUGAGGGGUUGCAUCAACAGAGAAAAACACAUGAAGGAACACACAGAGAAAGAGACAAACAGCAGAGUUUAUCUAGUGUACCUUUGACUCAGAGUUUGUGGACGAGAACGGAAAGAAAUCAGAGAGCUGACAGUGGUGGUAUGAGACCACGGCAUGGGGACAGAAAGCAAGUGUGUCCAGGUGGGUUCAACCCCCCCCCCCCAAACGUAGGCCCAUUUCCCGGCCUGUGCCAGAGUGGCUUGGGCAGCCGGGUGUCUGACAGUGGCCUGGGGACCCAUCUGUGAGAACAGUCCGGGGUUAUAUGGGAGCACCAAGCAGCCCCGGCUCUGGGCUGUGGACUAUGGGCAAGCAGCAUAGAUCCCCUGGGAAAGAACUGAGAGUGAAACAGAGCAUCAGACAGAGGAACUGGGAAGAGGCUGGCAUUGGUGGAAAUAUGAAAGAGAGCAGCAGAUGGCGUGACCCCACUCCUGAUCAGCACGGGAGUUUUGACCUGCUCUGUUUCGGACCUAGGCCUGUUCACCCCUCCUUAGGCAACCUGGUGGUCCCCUGCUCCCUUGUGCCCCAGGCCCGGACUAGAGGCAUGAGCUUAGCCUGAAGCUUACAGAUAACGAGGAGCCACAAUAGGCCAGUUGGCGGUGCAAGCCGCAUGGAGCUGCUGGCUUUGUUCUACUGUCCUACAACCAGAAGCCCUGGGUCCAGUUCUUUGGAAUAAGGGAAGCCCUGAAGUAGCAUUUGUUUCCUAGUGGUGUGAGAGAGCUCUGUUGGAAACACGUCAAAC